rnacentral:rRNA from 1 species
UUUGAUCCUGGCUCAGGAUGAACGCUAGCUACAGGCUUAACACAUGCAAGUCGAGGGGAAACGACAUCGAAAGCUUGCUUUUGAUGGGCGUCGACCGGCGCACGGGUGAGUAACGCGUAUCCAACCUGCCCACCACUUGGGGAUAACCUUGCGAAAGUAAGACUAAUACCCAAUGAUAUCUCUAGAAGACAUCUGAAAGAGAUUAAAGAUUUAUCGGUGAUGGAUGGGGAUGCGUCUGAUUAGCUUGUUGGCGGGGUAACGGCCCACCAAGGCGACGAUCAGUAGGGGUUCUGAGAGGAAGGUCCCCCACAUUGGAACUGAGACACGGUCCAAACUCCUACGGGAGGCAGCAGUGAGGAAUAUUGGUCAAUGGGCGAGAGCCUGAACCAGCCAAGUAGCGUGCAGGAUGACGGCCCUAUGGGUUGUAAACUGCUUUUAUAAGGGAAUAAAGUGAGUCUCGUGAGACUUUUUGCAUGUACCUUAUGAAUAAGGACCGGCUAAUUCCGUGCCAGCAGCCGCGGUAAUACGGAAGGUCCGGGCGUUAUCCGGAUUUAUUGGGUUUAAAGGGAGCGUAGGCCGGAGAUUAAGCGUGUUGUGAAAUGUAGACGCUCAACGUCUGCACUGCAGCGCGAACUGGUUUCCUUGAGUACGCACAAAGUGGGCGGAAUUCGUGGUGUAGCGGUGAAAUGCUUAGAUAUCACGAAGAACUCCGAUUGCGAAGGCAGCUCACUGGAGCGCAACUGACGCUGAAGCUCGAAAGUGCGGGUAUCGAACAGGAUUAGAUACCCUGGUAGUCCGCACGGUAAACGAUGGAUGCCCGCUGUUGGUCUGAAUAGGUCAGCGGCC